GUUGAUCUUGCCCGGACCUCACUGCUAUCGGGGUGGGACUAAAACAUGCAAGUCGAGCGCCUUCCAAGCUAUGGUGAAGGCGCGGCAUACGGCUCAGUAACACGUGGCCAACCUACCCUUGGGACGGAGACAACCCCGGGAAACUGGGGCUAAUCCCCGAUAGGUAAGGAAUCCUGGAAUGGAUCUUUGCUGAAAGGGCGUCUAGACCAUGCUUCUUGACGUCGCCCAAGGAUGGAGCCGCGACCGAUCAGGUAGUUGGCGAGGCAACGGCUCACCAAGCCUAUAACCGGUACGGGCCGUGAGAGCGGGAGCCCGGAGGUGGGCACUGAGACAAGGGCCCAGGCCCUACGGGGCGCAGCAGUUGCGAAAACUCCGCAAUAUGCGAAAGCGGGACGGGGCUACCCCGAGUGCCGCCCGCUGAGGGCGGCUUUUCCACGGUGUAAGGAGCCGUGGGAAUAAGGAGAGGGCAAGACUGGUGUCAGCCGCCGCGGUAAUACCAGCUCUCCGAGUGGUGAGGACGAUUAUUGGGCUUAAAGCGUUCGUAGCCGGCUUAACAAGUCUUCCGUUAAAUCCAACGAUCUAAUCGUUGGGCCGCGGGAGAUACUGUUGGGCUAGGAGGCGGGAGAAGCCGACGGUAUUCUCGGGGUAGGGGUGAAAUCCUGUAAUCCCGGGAGGACCACCAGUGGCGAAGGCGGUCGGCUAGAACGCGCUCGACGGUGAGGGACGAAAGCUGGGGGAGCGAAUCGGAUUAGAAACCCGGGUAGUCCCAGCUGUAAACGAUGCGGGCUAGGUGUUGGGGUGGCCACGAGCCGCCUCAGUGCCGCAUGGAAGCAAUUAAGCCCGCCGCCUGGGGAGUACGGCCGCAAGGCUGAAACUUAAAGGAAUUGGCGGGGGAGCACCACAAGGCGUGAAGCUUGCGGUUUAAUUGGAUUCAACGCCGGA
rnacentral:rRNA from 1 species